GGGCGGUGGCGGGAUGCGCGGCGCGGGCCGCGGCAGGAUUUUGAUGGCAUUUUUAGAAGUUCUUUUGUGGCUUAAGUUUUGAGGACUCCACUCAAGUAUUUCAAAGUUUAAAAAAAAAGUUUGUCCACAUCAAGGCUGAUCAGCUGACUUGGAAGAUGUGCAUGAAACGGAAGACUGGGUUUAAAAAUAACAUGUGGAUUCUCGUAGAAGAUUGAUAGCACUGUCAGCAUUUGUCCACAAUAGAAGAUGGGUGGAUUAAUUUCAAGAUGGAGGCAGACAAAGCCUUCCACUGUAGAAGUAUUAGAAAAAAUUGAUAAGGAAAUACAGACAUUAGAAGAGUUUCAGGAAAAAAAUCAGAGGCUACAGAAACUAUGGGUUGGAAGGCUGCUUCUCUACUCUUCACUUCUUUACCUUAUCACCUGCGUAAUUGUCUAUUUUUGGUGUCUUCCUGAUGAAUGGACAGCAAGGGUGGUUAUGACACUUCCAUUUUUUGCAUUUCCAUUGAUAAUCUGGUUUAUAAGAACACUGCUCAUUUUUUUCUUUUCCAAAAGGACGGAAAGGAAUAAUGAUGCACUGGAAGAUUUAAAGACUCAAAAGAAAAAAAUACUUGAGGAAGUAAUGGAGAAGGAAACAUACAAAACUGCUAAGCUAAUCCUUGAAAGGUUUGAUCCAGAAUCGAGUGCAAAGGAGACUGAGCCACCAUCUGCUGGAACAUCUGCAACCCCGAGACCUGGACAAGAAAUUCGUCAGAGGACCACAGCUCAAAGAAAUGCUUCUGUGCCUCCACCUGCAACUUCUAAACAAGGCUCUCCAAAAUCACUGGUUCCAGCAUCUCCUAAUCUCCAGAGAGACACAGCAGAUUUGAGUGGACCCACAGAAAGAGCUAUUGUGCCAUCCUUGCAGUCAAAUGUUUCACCAAGACGCCCUGGAUCCCCUGCUACUUCAGUGCCUGGAAUGGGUCUUCAUCCUCCAGGGCCUCCUUUAGCAAGACCUAUUCUUCCUCGGGAAAGAGGAGUUGUGGAUAGAGUUAUUGAAUAUUUGGUUGGUGAUGGUCCUCAGAACAGGUAUGCCCUUAUAUGUCAGCAAUGCUUUUCUCACAAUGGUAUGGCUUUGAAGGAGGAGUUUGAAUACAUAGCAUUUAGGUGUGCCUACUGCUUUUUCCUGAAUCCUGCAAGAAAAACUAGACCUCAGGCUCCACGACUUCCAGACUUCAGUUUUGAAAAAAGGCAGUCUACAGAAUUGCCAUCUGAAGCUGAGCUGCUAGAACCUAGAGAGAGGAAACCUCAGAAGACAGAACAGUCAGAAGAGUCUGAAGAAGACACAGCCCAGAUUGUUGAGACAAACGAGAUGGAUGAUAAAGCACCAAGUCCUGAGCAGCUAAAUGAUAAGCCAGCUGAAGAAGUUGAAAAAGAAGAAAACAUUUCAACAACUGAAGACUCUAUUUCACAGUCUAUUUCAGCCGCACAAAGUGAAGAAUCUUUAAUGAAAACAGAAUAAAGUACUUCAAGUGCCUUCUGUAGCUAGUUCUUAGCUUUGUUCAUGCCUGUUGUUACUAUUCAGAGAUGCUGGAUUUGUAGAAAACUCAAGCAACAAAGACCUUCCAGUUCUCCUGAAAUGGUCUGCCCUCUAAUUCCUUGCAUCGCUUCAAGGAGUUCUGCUCAGCUGCCGAAACUUAAUUUUGACUUGUUCAGCACACAAAGAAAAAUGUUUUAUAAAAACACCAAGAAAAUGCAUUUUUGAGAAAACUAUUUUAAGUGACAUUUUAGAAGAAAUGUGAAAGUUGAUAUUUCUUAAGGAAUGUUUCAACUUGUAUUUUUUGUAUACUGAGAAUUUAUUUAAGCAGGAGAUCCGGUAUAUUUAUAGCUUAAGUUCUUGUUGUUAUAAUAGCCUUAUUGCUGCAUUAGUAAAGUGUAUGUGUGUUUAUGUACUAUAAAUAGUAUCUUUAUCAGAAGUAUCAUUUUAGUGCUAGCUGUGGCCUUGACCAGUAGUUACAUCACCUGCACUUGAAACUCCAUUAAAAUCAAUGGCAAAGAUGUGAAUUAGUGUGAAUUCUUAGGGCCUAAUAGACUUCCUGAAAUGUCUGUCUUAGGUUUUUUUCUUGUAGUAGAGAAAAUAUUUAAACUUGUGCUCUCCUUUCAAAAUACAGUAGUAUGAAAUUAAAUGGUAUGGCUUGUUGUUUGACUGUAUGCUGCAUCUGCUGUAUGUAUCUUCUUGAGGAAAUGCUUGAUUCUAAAAAAGCUAUUGAAUAUUCAUCUGAUCUGGAUUAUGAUGAUGGCUGGGAUAAGUCAGGUUGCUCUUUGCAUAGUAGUGACUUAUGGUUUUAAGGUAGUAAUUCCAGCGUUUAGUAGUUUAUUCUGUGCUGGCUUUAUGCAAUCAACUUGGAUUCGAUAGUUUUUUUUUUAAAAAAAUAUUUGAAGAACCCCAUAUGUUACCCAAACAAGGAUGAGGAUACUCCAACUUUUUCAGUGCAACCCUCACUCACAAGUUGGACUGGCAUGUGGAGGAAAAGAAAGUUGUUCAAGGUUGAGUAGCUUCUGAUAAGACCCAUUUAUCUGUGCUACAUCCAAUUGUGAGAAUUCCUGGCUCAUGGUAUUAACAGCCAGCUACCCAUCCUCAAAGGUCAGGCUGGCAUACAACUGCAAAAUUUUGUGUGUGCAGUGAAGUAGAGCCAUGGAAAAACCUGUCUUGACUCAGUAGAAAAAUUGUGUGGCAACUUCAGAGGGGACUGUGGAGUUGUGAAGAUUCUGAUUGUGGCCUGUGAUUUUGUAGACACAUACAUUUCAGGGUGGGUAUUACAGGUUUUAUUGUAUCUGAAUGGUGAUUUAUGUCCUUAUUCUUGUAUUAUUGCCUACAAGGUACUGCCCUGUGUCACAGGCCUGUAUUAUCUAAUUUUUUCAGACUUUCGUUUUCAUUAGUAAAGCUACUUUAGCUUGUGA